rnacentral:rRNA from 1 species
AUUGAACGCUGGCGGCAUGCUUUACACAUGCAAGUCGAACGGUAACAGGCCUUCGGGUGCUGACGAGUGGCGAACGGGUGAGUAAUGCAUCGGAACGUGCCCAAUCGUGGGGGAUAACGUAGCGAAAGUUACGCUAAUACCGCAUAAGCCCUGAGGGGGAAAGUGGGGGACCGCAAGGCCUCACGCGAAUGGAGCGGCCGAUGUCAGAUUAGCUAGUUGGUGGGGUAAAGGCUCACCAAGGCGACGAUCUGUAGCGGGUCUGAGAGGAUGAUCCGCCACACUGGGACUGAGACACGGCCCAGACUCCUACGGGAGGCAGCAGUGGGGAAUUUUGGACAAUGGGCGCAAGCCUGAUCCAGCCAUGCCGCGUGCGGGACGAAGGCC